AAAUUGAAGAGUUUGAUCAUGGCUCAGAUUGAACGCUGGCGGCAGGCCUAACACAUGCAAGUCGAACGGUAACAGGAAGCAGCUUGCUGCUUUGCUGACGAGUGGCGGACGGGUGAGUAAUGUCUGGGAAACUGCCUGAUGGAGGGGGAUAACUACUGGAAACGGUGGCUAAUACCGCAUAACGUCGCAAGACCAAAGAGGGGGAUCUUCGGGCCUCUUGCCAUCAGAUGUGCCCAGAUGGGAUUAGCUAGUUGGUGAGGUAACGGCUCACCAAGGCGACGAUCCCUAGCUGGUCUGAGAGGAUGACCAGCCACACUGGAACUGAGACACGGUCCAGACUCCUACGGGAGGCAGCAGUGGGGAAUAUUGCACAAUGGGCGCAAGCCUGAUGCAGCCAUGCCGCGUGUAUGAAGAAGGCCUUAGGGUUGUAAAGUACUUUCAGCGGGGAGGAAGGUGUUGUGGUUAAUAACCGCAGCAAUUGACGUUACCCGCAGAAGAAGCACCGGCUAACUCCGUGCCAGCAGCCGCGGUAAUACGGAGGGUGCAAGCGUUAAUCGGAAUUACUGGGCGUAAAGCGCACGCAGGCGGUCUGUCAAGUCGGAUGUGAAAUCCCCGGGCUCAACCUGGG
rnacentral:rRNA from 1 species